AGAAUCAACGCUGGCGGCGUGCCUAACACAUGCAAGUCGAACGCGAAAGUGGAGCAAUCCAUUAGUAGAGUGGCAAACGGGUGAGUAACACGUGGGCGACCUACCUCAGAGUGGGGGAUAACCUUCCGAAAGGAGGGCUAAUACCGCAUGACAUCCCGUGUUUGGAUACACGGAGAUCAAAGCCGGGGAUCGUAAGACCUGGCGCUUGGAGAGGGGCCCGCGUCCGAUUAGCUAGUUGGUGAGGUAACGGCUCACCAAGGCUCCGAUCGGU
rnacentral:rRNA from 1 species